GAUGAACGCUGGCGGCGUGCCUAAUACAUGCAAGUCGAGCGAACAGAUGAGGAGCUUGCUCCUCUGACGUUAGCGGCGGACGGGUGAGUAACACGUGGAUAACCUACCUAUAAGACUGGGAUAACUUCGGGAAACCGGAGCUAAUACCGGAGAAUAUAUUGAACCGCAUGGUUCAAUAGUGAAAGGCGGUGUUGCUGUCACGUAUAGAUGGAUCCGCGCCGCAUUAGCUAGUUGGUAAGGUAACGGCUUACCAAGGCAACGAUGCGUAUCCGACGGGAGAGAGUGAUCGCCCACCCUGGAGCUGGGACGCGGUCCAGACUCCUACGGUAGGCAGCAGUCGGCAAUCUUCCGCAGUAGGCGAAAGCCUGACGGAGCAACGCCGCGUGAGUGAUGACGGUCUUCGGAUCGUAAAACUCUGUUAUUAGGGAAGAACAACUGUGUACGUAACUAUGCACGUCUUGACGGUACCUAAUCAGAAAGCCACGGCUAACUACGUG
rnacentral:rRNA from 1 species